rnacentral:rRNA from 1 species
UACGGAGGAUGCGAGCGUUAUCCGGAUUUAUUGGGUUUAAAGGGAGCGUAGGCGGUUCGAUAAGUUGGAGGUGAAAUGUUAGGGCUUAACCCUGAAACUGCCUCCAAUACUGUUGGGCUAGAGAGUAGUUGCGGUAGGCGGAAUGUAUGGUGUAGCGGUGAAAUGCUUAGAGAUCAUACAGAACACCGAUUGCGAAGGCAGCUUACCAAACUAUAUCUGACGUUGAGGCACGAAAGCGUGGGGAGCAAACAGG